rnacentral:rRNA from 2 species
AGGUCACUGCUAUCGGUGUUCGAUUAAGCCAUGCGAGUCGUGAGGGGUAAAGCCCUCGGCGGAGUGCUCAGUAACACGUGGACAACCUACCCAAGAGUCAGGGAUAACCCCGGGAAACUGGGGAUAAUACCUGAUAGGCCAUGACAUCUGGAAUCGAGUUGUGGUUUAAACGUAAGGCUCUUGGAUGGGUCUGCGGCGGAUUAGGUUGUUGCCGGUGUAACGUACCAGCAAGCCUGUAAUCCGUACGGGUUGUGGGAGCAAGAGCCCGGAGAUGGAUUCUGAGACACGAAUCCAGGCCCUACGGGGCGCAGCAGGCGCGAAAACUCUACAAUGCAGGCAACUGCGAUAGGGGAACAUCGAGUGGCAUCCACCAUGGAUGUCUGUCCAAUCGUCUAAAAAACGAUUGUCAGCAAGGGCCGGGCAAGACCGGUGCCAGCCGCCGCGGUAAUACCGGCGGCUCGAGUGGUGGCCGAUAUUAUUGAGUCUAAAGGGUCCGUAGCCGGCUUUGCAAGUCCUAUGGGAAAUCCAGCGGCUUAACCGUUGGGCUUUCAUGGGAUACUACAUUGCUUGGGACUGGGAGAGGUAGGAGGUACUCAGGGGGUAGGGGUGAAAUCCUGUAAUCCUUUGGGGACCACCGGUGGCGAAGGCGUCCUACCAGAACAGGUCCGACGGUGAGGGACGAAAGCUAGGGGCACGAACCGGAUUAGAUACCCGGGUAGUCCUAGCCGUAAACGAUGCUCGCUAGGUGUCACGGCAGUCGUGAAUUGUCGUGGUGCCGUAGGGAAGCCGUGAAGCGAGCCACUUGGGAAGUACGACCGCAAGGUUGAAACUUAA